AUGCAUUUCACUCAAUGCGAAAUCAGUAUUAUUAGUACAUGUGAAAAGCAUAUGUGGUUGAAAAGUGAAAACAAUGCAAAACCAAUCUUUUACAUGCGUAAAGCACACCUUGCUGCAAACAAUGCAAAGCCAACCCUUUUAUAUGAGAAAGGGUGUCUACAAUGGUUUAAGCACGCUGUGAUCCAAAAAGUGACAGAGCUGUACUUGGAGAAGAGCAAAAAAAAAAGAAAAAAAGGUGCUGCUACCACAGCAUCAAACCGGCAAGCCUAUAAACACCACUCCAAUUUACAGCAUUCAGUAUGCAUCAGAUCCUUCUGCUGCGAAAACCUAAUAUGGUAG
rnacentral:rRNA from 1 species